AACGAACGCUGGCGGCACGUUUUAAGCAUGCAAGUCGAACGGCAGUGGGGGCAACCCCAUGAGAGUGGCGAACGGGUGAGUAACACGUAGGUGAUCUGCCUUUGGGUUGGGGAUAGCUUGUGGAAACACAGGGUAAUACCGAAUGAGCUGACGAGGCUCUGGCCAGGUUAGUAAAGGUGCUACGGCACCGCCUAGAGAGGAGCCUGCGGCUGAUUAGCUAGUUGGUGGGGUAAAGGCCUACCAAGGCGACGAUCAGUAGCCGGCCUGAGAGGGCGUACGGGCACGCUGGAACUAAGACACGGUCCACACUCCUAAGGGAGGCAGCAGCUACGAAUCUUCCGCCAUGGGCGAAAGCCUGACGGGACGAUGCCGCGUGAUCGAUGAAGUGCGAGAGAGUGUAAAGAUAUUUGCCUACUGAGGAAUAAGUGGACCAGGGAGUGGGUGCAUGAUGACGGUAAGUUGGGAAUAAGCCCCGGCUAAUUACGUGCCAGCAGCCGCGGUAA
rnacentral:rRNA from 1 species